AGAGUUUGAUCCUGGCUCAGAUUGAACGCUGGCGGCAGGCCUAACACAUGCAAGUCGAGCGGUAGAGAGAAGCUUGCUUCUCUUGAGAGCGGCGGACGGGUGAGUAAAGCCUAGGAAUCUGCCUGGUAGUGGGGGAUAACGUUCGGAAACGGACGCUAAUACCGCAUACGUCCUACGGGAGAAAGCAGGGGACCUUCGGGCCUUGCGCUAUCAGAUGAGCCUAGGUCGGAUUAGCUAGUUGGUGAGGUAAUGGCUCACCAAGGCGACGAUCCGUAACUGGUCUGAGAGGAUGAUCAGUCACACUGGAACUGAGACACGGUCCAGACUCCUACGGGAGGCAGCAGUGGGGAAUAUUGGACAAUGGGCGAAAGCCUGAUCCAGCCAUGCCGCGUGUGUGAAGAAGGUCUUCGGAUUGUAAAGCACUUUAAGUUGGGAGGAAGGGCAUUAACCUAAUACGUUAGUGUUUUGACGUUACCGACAGAAUAAGCACCGGCUAACUCUGUGCCAGCAGCCGCGGUAA
rnacentral:rRNA from 1 species